rnacentral:rRNA from 1 species
AACGAACGCUGGCGGCAUGCCUAACACAUGCAAGUCGAACGAAGCCUUCGGGCUUAGUGGCGCACGGGUGCGUAACGCGUGGGAAUCUGCCCUUGGGUCUGGAAUAACAGUUAGAAAUGACUGCUAAUACCGGAUGAUGACUUCGGUCCAAAGAUUUAUCGCCCAAGGAUGAGCCCGCGUCGGAUUAGCUAGUUGGUGAGGUAAAAGCUCACCAAGGCGACGAUCCGUAGCUGGUCUGAGAGGAUGAUCAGCCACACUGGGACUGAGACACGGCCCAGACUCCUACGGGAGGCAGCAGUGGGGAAUAUUGGACAAUGGGCGAAAGCCUGAUCCAGCAAUGCCGCGUGAGUGAUGAAGGCCUUAGGGUUGUAAAGCUCUUUUACCCGGGAUGAUAAUGACAGUACCGGGAGAAUAAGCCCCGGCUAACUCCGUGCCAGCCGCCGCUGUAAUAC